GGAGAAUCCUGAAUUCGAAAGGGGCUGGAUUCAACUGCUACCGUGUGUUUUCGGGACGUCCCUGCCAGAUGGCGCUGGUCGCCCGCGGCGAUUCAUUUCGCUUGCGGUGUCGUUCCUGGCGUGCACUCGGCAACGAGACGCCUUCCCGGCACCGGAGGAGCGCACUUCCCCCCUAGUAGAAACGUCGCGACCCGUUGGGUGCCAGUCGAAGGCACGGUGUGGCAGCCCGUGCGUCCUGUGGGGGUUCCCACAGGUGUUCGGACCACCGUUGACCUGGCUGGCUGCCCGACGGUAUGACCAGAGGAGUCGAUCCGCUGAAUGGGAAUCACUGUGGUUGUGAAGCGUCCGGCCCGUCGCCGAGGCGUGCAGGGAUUGAGGUGCAAACCGGGGGUGCCCGUGCGAAGCACGGCCCCGGCCCUGCUGCGUCUUCGGACGUCGGUGUCCUCGGACUGGAUCAGUUCUCCCGUCUGCGACGCCCACCUUCGGAUGGUCUCCCG
rnacentral:rRNA from 1 species